rnacentral:rRNA from 1 species
CUGCUGCCUUCCGUAGGAGUUUGGGCCGUGUCUCAGUCCCAAUGUGGCCGUCCACCCUCUCAGGCCGGCUACUGAUCGUCGCCUUGGUGGGCCGUUACCCCGCCAACAAGCUAAUCAGACGCGGGUCCAUCUUACACCACCGGAGUUUUUCACACAAAUCCAUGCGGCUUCGUGCGCUUAUGCGGUAUUAGCACCUAUUUCUAAGUGUUAUCCCCCAGUGUAAGGCAGGUUACCCACGCGUUACUCACCCGUCCGCCACUAAGGUUUACA